rnacentral:rRNA from 1 species
GAACCUGCGGAAGGAUCAUUAUUGAAAUAAACCUGAUGGGUUGCUGCUGGCUCUUUAGGGAGCAUGUGCACACUUGUCAUCUUUAUAUCUCCACCUGUGCACCUUUUGUAGACCUGGAUAUCUUUCUGAAUGCCUGGCAUUCAGGUUUGAGGAUUGACUUUUGUCUUUCCUUACAUUUCUAGGCCUAUGUUUUCUUCAUAUACCCCAUUUAUGUUUUAGAAUGUAAUGAAAGGGGCCUUUGUGCCUACAAACCUUAUACAACUUUCAGCAACGGAUCUCUUGGCUCUCGCAUCGAUGAAGAACGCAGCGAAAUGCGAUAAGUAAUGUGAAUUGCAGAAUUCAGUGAAUCAUCGAAUCUUUGAACGCACCUUGCGCUCCUUGGUAUUCCGAGGAGCAUGCCUGUUUGAGUGUCAUUAAUAUAUCAACCUCCUCAGGUUUUUACUUGUCGAGUGUUUGGAUGUGGGGGUUUCUUUUGCUGGUCUCUUUUGAGGUCUGCUCCCCUAAAAUGCAUUAGCGGAACAAUUUGUUGACCCGUUCAUUGGUGUGAUAACUAUCUACGCUUUUGUGGUGAAACAGGUUCAGCUUCUAACAGUCCAUUGACUUGGACAAAUUUUCAUUAAUGUGACCUCAAAUCAGGUAGGACUACCC